rnacentral:tRNA from 1 species
AAGGGUGUAAUCAAUAAUGAUAUUUCAUUUACAAUGAAAUUAUAGCUAAAUUUAGCCAUUCUUA